rnacentral:rRNA from 1 species
ACGAACGCUGGCGGCGUGCUUCACACAUGCAAGUCGAACGGAAAGGCCCCGCUUUUGUGGGGUGCUCGAGUGGCGAACGGGUGAGUAACACGUGAGUAACCUGCCCUUGACUUUGGGAUAACUUCAGGAAACUGGGGCUAAUACCGGAUAGGAGCUCCUGCUGCAUGGUGGGGGUUGGAAAGUUUCGGCGGUUGGGGAUGGACUCGCGGCUUAUCAGCUUGUUGGUGGGGUAGUGGCUUACCAAGGCUUUGACGGGUAGCCGGCCUGAGAGGGUGACCGGCCACAUUGGGACUGAGAUACGGCCCAGACUCCUACGGGAGGCAGCAGUGGGGAAUAUUGCACAAUGGGCGGAAGCCUGAUGCAGCAACGCCGCGUGCGGGAUGACGGCCUUCGGGUUGUAAACCGCUUUCGCCUGUGACGAAGCGUGAGUGACGGUAAUGGGUAAAGAAGCACCGGCUAACUACGUG